AAAUAUAUAUAUAAACAAGGUGCACUCACAGGUCUUCAAAAGAUCUUGAAAAAGACCCUAUAGGGGUCGAAACGUCGAUUCAUUGGAAGACUUUUUUGCACGUGUAAUUUGCAUAUAAAAUAAAUGAAGCACUUUUGAAGACCUGUGAGUGCACCUUGUUUAUAUAU